AAGCAAGCCAAGCUCCCAACACACCCGAUGCAAUUCAGGUAUUAUAAAAACUUUGUUAAAUGCUCAAUGUAAUUCAGUAAUAUAAAUCAGAAUUAUAUCGAAAAUUUUCCAGAAACACUAAUUAAAAGUUACUCCAACAAAGUAAAUUAAAAAUCUCACUACAAAAUCACGAAUUAAAAUUGAGAGCAAAAAGUUGAAUUUGAAACCUUAUAUGAAGCAAGGUGAUUUUUUCGGCAUUAUUGAGACCUAAAAAUAGGAUCUUUCCCACAACCCAAGUGAAGAAAGAAUACCCUAGGGCAAUGGACACCAAUUCAAUUCAAACAAAAACUAAAGAAAUCCCAGGCGCAAGAAUCAAAAGCAAGAAACCCCCAAAGCAUAAAAAUACAAUCAGAUUUAGUUUGAGAAGAAGAAGUAAAAAAACUCACCAGGGUUUUCGAUCUUGGGGGAUCCUGGGAUAUUCCGCCUAAUAAAAUCUUGUUUUGGUAAUGUUUUUCUAUGAAAAAUGAUUGUUUGAUUUUGUUAAGUGAGAUAUUGAUUUUGGAAAAAAAAUAAACGUCAGCUAAUUUUUAAAUUAAAGUUUUUUGUUUUUUUUUUUGUAAAAUCAAUUUGUAAAAGAAUACUAAGCGGGUAUCUAGAACACAGCUGUAUAUUUUAAAUUUAAUUUUUUUUUAUUAUGGUAAAGAAUGUAGGACGGUUAGGUAAGGUAGCCGUCCUCUAUUCUUUUUCUCAUAUAACAGUUAUAAGAGAAAUACGUUCUCUAUAUACCUAGACGACGCUUAACAAACUUAACCGUUCUUUAUUCAGCGUUUUCUAUUCCCUAUUUUGUAGUAGUGCUCUUUCGUUUAAUUCUUAAUCAUUUUAAGUGAUUCAAAACCCACUCUUCUCAUUUAUGUGUAAGGAUUCCAUAGAGAUCUUGCUUUUAAAAUUUUGUAAAAGGUAAACGAAUUAAAUAGUAUUUGUAAAAUUUAAAAUAUAUGUUAAUUAUCAAACGAAUUGUUUUUAAAUGUCGUUCUUAAUCAAAUCCCUAUAGAAAAAGGAAAAAUGAUAAACUUUGAAUCACUUUAAACGAUUAAGAAACGAAACAUAUAUCUUAAUUUAAAAAUGAGAAAUUGUAAAGUGGUAGUGAUUCCAAACAAAAUUAUACUUUAAGGUAGUAAAUUAAAAUAAAAUUUUUACAAGGUAUUAAACACAAAGUGGUAUAUUUUUAACGGUUUUUUCAUGAAAUGCCCCUGAGGUUUGCAAUAAUGCACCAAAUACCCCUGCGCGUUUCAAAAUUCAUAGAAUACCCCUAUUUUUCCGUACUGUUCAUUAAAUGCACCUGUACUUAACGGACGUUAGCCUGCCGUUAGCUGUGUUUUACCAUUCUACCCUUAAUUCAUAUUUGGGGCUAUUAAGGAUGAAAAACCCUAAAGAAAAUCAAAAAAAAAAAAAGAAUCUCAAUCUUCUUCGCUUUCUCUCUCAUCUCCCCUGUUCUUCUUCCUUGAAUUCUACUCAAACGCUACAAAAUCUGGGUGUUCUUUGGGUGAAUUCGGGACAAAAAGGGGAUAUUUGAAGCGAUUUCGAUCUCACCCCCAAUUCAUCAAUGGCAGAUUCACCUCAAAUUACUCAGAAACACAAGGCUCCAUGAGGGUUCGAUCUCACCCCCAAUUCAUCAACAGCCAUUGAUCUUCUUCCAGUGAUUUGGUGGUGCAAGUGGUGGGAAGUCCGACGAAUCCACCAUUGUCGGCGACGAAGGUUGAAGGCUGGCCAAUUCCGCAAACUCCAAGAAGAGGAAGGAACCCGAGAAGUUGCAGAAGGUUGAAGAAGUGGGUCCUGUUUGGUGGGUUGAAACCUCCAAGAACAUCUCCCUUCAUUUUCAAUUCGAUCCAGAUGUUUCUGAUAGUUUUGCUUAUGAGGGUGCAGUACUGAACGAACUAAAGCAGUGGAAGGAGCUCUAUGGAGAAGGAGGGUCAAGAAAUGAGCAACUUACUUACUUCUUAUAGGAAGGUGGUAUGGAGAAGGCGGGUCAAGAAAGAAGGAUCAGUUGUAAGAGAACUCUGAGUCCUCUUUGGCAAUAGAUACAUAUCAUAAGGCACUGAAGGAAGCUUAUGUAAUUUGUAUUUCUUGUUAAACACUUUUGGUGGGCGAGUGGGAAAAAGCGAGUUUUAGAUAUAGAUGCAACGAGGGCUUACAUAUAUCUACUUAUACCGUAUUCUGUAUUAAGAGUUUGCUCAUGUUGUAUAAGAAAAAUAAAGCCUAAUUUAACUUACAAUUAA